ensembl:lincRNA
UCCAGGAGUCUGGAGGAGGAGAGCAAGGAACGCGCCAGCCCCAUACUUGCGAGACCUGGGAUGCGGUCACGUGACAACGGAAGCCCGCUAGAGGGGCCAGUUCAAGCCAUCUCCCCGGAGCCUCCCCCUGCCUCCGACCCCUUCCCUGAUGGAUCCUUUCUUCACACAAGCCUGGAGACUCCAGUGAUUCCCAGGGGCUGGCAAACCAAGCCCAGCUUUCGGCUAGCUUGGGAACCCCCUGGCUGGACGCCAGGAAAAGAGGUCCCUGAGCGCUUGGCCUAGAGGUUCCUGGAACAAGGAAGGGACAAAGGAUUUACAUACCGAGCCCCUGCCGUAUGUAAGGCCCAUUCUCCAAGGUCUACCCACCUCUCAAGCUCCAGCUCAUAAAGCCUGUUUGGAACAGUGCCAGCCAAAUCUGAUUCCUCUCUCCUCUGAAAGCCCAGCAUACUCAGUCUGUACCUUUCUCAGGGCACAGCGUGUGGCCUGUCUCAUAUUCUAGUGAUCUGUUUACUAAUCCUGUUCUUCUAACCAGAUUAGAAAGUCCUUGAGGCAGAAACAAAGUCUGCUGCUCUGAGCCUUCUCCCAUGGCUUGAGCUCAUCCCCCACAGGCCAAGCUUGGCACUGGAGUUGAUGUUCAAUAAAUGUUCGGUGUAUUGAAAUGAUUUCCUGCCCUUGGGCAGUUUGCAGGCCAGUUGAAGAGACAAACACAUGGCAUGUGAGGUUAAAUAAUAACCCAAGCCAGCAGGUGGUGAGUACCAAAUGUGUGAGAGCUAUAGGGAGUCGGUGAAGGAGAUAGUGAUAGGGGAGAAGGAUCCCAGGAGGCUCUAGGCUUUGAGCUGUGUGUGUGGAGGAGGAGAGAGAAGGCGUGGAGGUGAUUCAGCCUGGUUUACAUCACCGCAGACCCGCCUGCACACUAGGCACUUCACCAUGCAUUAUCUCUAAUAUUUAGGAGAGCAGGCUGGGUUUGGGAAGAGUGGAGGAGACCCAACCCAGAUGUGCCUAGAGCCAACCAGAGCUCAGAGGUGGCCUUGGAUCUGGGCUUCCCACCCUUGCUCCCCAGGCACUGCCUGUUCCUGGCCUGCCACUCCUACAUACUACACCCAAGAGAGCUGCCCAGCACUGCCCAGCUCUGGAUGCCCUCUGGUCCCUCCCUGGUGCACGACUGGCUGUGUGACCUUGGACCAGGCACUUCCUUCCCUACACCUCUCCGCCGUCUGUGCCUCCAUUGCAGCACUUCCGGGCUGUGACUCUGAACUCUGCCUCCUGAGAGCCUAUAUAUGCCUGGAGGUAUCGUAUGACAGUGGGAAAACCAUUUUCAGCCCAUUGGACAGGCUGCAAUGCAGAGGCCCCAGGGGACACUCAGUGGUGGAGGUAAGUGGUCAGACCUGCUGGCUAUGGGCAGCCUCAGUCAUCUCUCGGCUGGCAUGCCAGCUCCCAUCCCACUCAGCCCCUCACCUGGGAGUAAACUUUUUCUCACCGUACACUCUGGGAACUAAGAACCAGACCUUGGAUCCAGGACUCAACUCAGAACUUCUGUGGUACUUGGUGACAUGGUGGCAUGGCCCCUCCAAGGACCCACUUACAGUUACCGCAGGGCUCUGGCAGAAAUCACCACCAUUAUGUCAGAUCCCCGGCCAUAUCGGGGUGUGUCCAUUUCACUUGUUUCCUAACUCACUACGCUCACUAUGA